GGAAGUAAUUUUUUUUGGAACUUCUUCUGUAAUCUCUUCUUUCAAUGAUGACCUCUUGGAUGGCUGCAUGAAGCUUGUUCUGCUUUAAAUUUCAAGGGUUGAAAUGAUAGUGAUCUUAAAGUAGAAAAGCAGCAGACAAAAAUCAAUUAGCCACAAUGGUGUAUGGCUUCCUAGUUUCUCAGCAUAAAGUUGAAUGUUUUGUUGACCUCUCUACAUUCAAAAUCAUAUAGACAGCUACUGCUGGCACUUGCAGUAGCCAAUGAGCACUAUAGAGUAUAUAUUGCAGCGUGAGAUAAGAGUUCCCCUGGUUUGCAACUAAUUCACUUGUAUAUCUUGGAGCAUAGCCAUAAAUGGAAGGUUCUUCCAGUUCAAGAAAAUUAACCAUGAAGCUCAUAACUAGAAUUUUAGACAGAAGGGUGGCCAAGUGAACUCCUAUACCCUGUACCUCUGGAAUAAUACGGGGAAAGGAAGUAAAAAUAGAU